AUCCCUCUCCCUGAACCUGAAGAACCACUACAGCCUGGACGUCCACCUGCCGUCCACCUCCACCCCCGCCAGCAUCCUGGGCAGCCCCGUGGCCCCCGGCUCGCUGCCCACCCUGGGCCCCAGGGACUCCUACCUCAACCUCGUCAGCCUGGACAGGGGCAGCCACCGCUACGGCAGCAAGGAGGGGGACGAGUGCCUGGCGGUGCUGGAGGGGCAGGACGGGCUCAGCCGGCGCGUGGAGGGCUCCGAGGUCAGUGACUUCGCUCUGCUCAACGGGAGCAGCCGGCAGAAGGUGGAUGACGCAGACAGAGGGGACGAGGACAGGCGCCAGCCGCCCAUUCCCAAGCUCAACCCGCCACCGCCCAUCCUACGCAAAAGGUCAAGCAAGACCUCCCCGAGCCUGGAGGUGGAGGUGAAGCCUGAGAGCGCUGCCAGCCUGAGCCUGCCCAGCGCCAGCAUCUCCAGCCUCACCAGCAUCACUGCCAGCUCCCUCACCCUCUUGGACUCUGAGGCGAGGACUCCCGCACGGAGCACUGCCUCCAGCACAGAGCCCGGCCCUGCUGGGAUGUGCCAACGCAGCCUGGGCAAGGACAGGACUGGAGAGAGCGGGCCAAUGUCCCCCUUGGCCAGCAUCCGUGACCCAGCAGCCAGCGAGGCCCUGGCCAAGGAGUUGGCAGCCCUGGGCAGCCCCACGGACAGCUCCCUGCCCUUCUCCCCUGCGGACGACACCUGCUUGCACAUCAGCUUCUCCGAGGAUGAGCUGGACACUGCCGUGGGGCCCAGCAGGGUCCUCUCUUAGUGGGACUGCAGUGGGUGGCAGCUGGUGGCAGCAGCCCCGGCAGCUCCGUCCACGACCCUAUGCUGGGGUUGGGGGUCCCUGUGCCCAGGCUGUGAGGCAGGUCCCCUUGCUGUCCCCAUCCCACAUAACAGCUCCCACCACCACCUUGGGGCCACUGCACAGGAUGGGACCUGACCAGCCCUGCCCUUGGUCUGCACCAGCUCACACUGCCAUCCACUGUCCUGUCCCUGCUCACACAGCCAGGGAUGCUCCACGGCAGAAAAUCCCUGGGAACUGAAGGGUGGAAGCCCUGGGCAGGGCACAGCACAGGGCUGGGAACACCCACACACGAGGCUGUUCUGGUUCACCAGUUGCUGCCCUUGGUAGCCUGAGCGAGGCCAUGUGGCACAGCCACAGUGUCACUCCCCUGUCCAGCUCCCCAAGGCGGGUCCCAGGCUGCCACCCCACUGCCACCAUGCUGGUUCUCUCCAGAGCAGCCUGUGUCUACCAGUGCCACACUGUGCCCAGCCCAGCUUUGGGGACAGCAGCCCCACCACUGUGCCCCCACACGGUGAAGCCACCACUGCCUCCCUCCACAGGUGCCUUUUCCCACUCUCCAGCACCCACUGCCCACAUAGGCUGGGACCAUCCCCGUGAGGCCACAGAUGGGUGCAGGGCUGGCCCUGGGAGCCUGUGGCAGUGGGGGGUGACCCCCAAGGAAGGGAAAGGGUGCAUCCCAUGUCUUGGGCUCUUGCUGGUGGCUACAGGCAGGAGGCUGCUCCUUGCACUGGUUUAGGGUGUUACAGUGUGGUUUGGGUUUGUUCUGGGAAGUGUGACUGUCCUGGAAGGAGUUAAGGUCUAAGGAAGAGUGUUGGGUGAAGGGCAGGUUUUGGGGAGGGAACAAGGGGAUCCUUAUCCACCUUGGCUGAUUGUGAGAGGGUGUUGGGAAAGUGUUGGAGAGUCGAGUUGGGAAGUGUCAAGCAGAAAUGGAGACUCGGGGCUGCCACGCUGCCUGUCCCUGACACUGCUGCUCCCACAGGGAGAUAGGGGUGACAGGACACCCCAGAGCCGGCCAUGGCAGUGACAGGGCUGGGAGGGGGCUGGUGACGGGGCUGGGGGCUGUAAAGCUGGGCUGGGCUGUCCCGUAGUGCGGUAGUGACAGCCCAGCCCGUCCGUAGGAUGACGUGUCCGUUCACUGCGGUUCCGUAACGGACUUUUAAAGGAAAAAAUAAAGGUGUCGGAUUUGCAGAGCCA
ensembl:lncRNA